UACGUAGGGUGCGAGCGUUAAUCGGAAUUACUGGGCGUAAAGCGUUCGCAGGCGGUUUUGUAAGUCAGAUGUGAAAUCCCCGGGCUUAACCUGGGAAUGGCAUUUGGGACUGCAAGGCUUGAGUGCGGCAGAGGAGACUGGAAUUCCUGGUGUAGCAGUGAAAUGCGUAGAUAUCAGGAGGAACACCGAUGGCGAAGGCAAGUCUCUGGGCUGACACUGACGCUCAUGCACGAAAGCGUGGGGAGCAAACAGG
rnacentral:rRNA from 1 species